UACCAGCCCCACUUGUCACUGAUGUACCCCUUUUUUCUUUUCUUUUUAAAAGGAAACACUCCUUCUUAUUCCCCCUGGCGCAUCUCAUCUAUGCCAAAAUCCUCUCACCGAAUCCAUCGCACAGCCAUCUUCCACCGGCGGCGCUGCACAACCACGGGGCAGAGCAGGAGAUGGCGCGUGGGAGGGUGACGGCGAUCUCGCGCGGCGGCGCUAGCUCCUGUGGUCA
rnacentral:lncRNA from 1 species